rnacentral:ribozyme from 1 species
GAAGGAGAAAGGAACAAAUAGGCAUUCUUUCUUCUUUUUUUUUUUUCUUUUUUCUUUUUUUCUCUUUUCUCUUUUCUUUCUUCUUUUCUCU